UACGUAGGGUGCAAGCGUUGUCCGGAAUUAUUGGGCGUAAAGAGCUCGUAGUCGGUCUGGCGAGUCGGCUGUGAAAUCCCGAGGCUCAACCUCGGGUCUGCAGUCGAUACGGGCAAACUAGAGUAUUGCAGGGGAGACUGGAAUUCCUGGUGUAGCGGUGAAAUGCGCAGAUAUCAGGAGGAACACCGGUGGCGAAGGCGGGUCUCUGGGCAAUAACUGACGCUGAGGAGCGAAAGCGUGGGGAGCGAACAGG
rnacentral:rRNA from 1 species